CUCUUUUAUUUAGAAUCCCAAAAAUAUGAGACCAAUUGCAAAAAAUUUCUUUUAAAAUCUAGUUUCAUAAUCUGAUUUUUAAUUAUUUUUGUGAUUCAAUUUAAUAUUUUUUGUGAAUUAUUUUGUUUUUGAUAGUUUUUAAUUCAUUUUAUUUACUUUUUGAUAUUCAAAAAUUCGAAAAAAAAAUUCUUAAGGCAUAUGGAUGAUGAUAAGUCU
rnacentral:lncRNA from 1 species